GCCUUCGUGGUGUAAUUGUAGCAUGCUCGGGACGUAAUCGAAAAGUCCAGGUUCGAGUCCCGGCGAGGGCA
rnacentral:tRNA from 1 species